GAGCGAAGGGUUGGGCUUAGGUAGGUGGGUGCGUGCGCGGGUGGAGGGGCGGCGGCCUCGCCGGCGCUACCUGCAGCGGCUCAGUGGCCUGGAGGUCCGCGUCGACCGGCGCCGGCACGUGCGUGAAUUAGUGCGGAGCGUAGGGAGGCGUGCAGAUCGGCGGUUGGUCACCGAGGAGCCGGACGUCGCGAGCGGCGUACGCACCCGCGACCGCCAGAGCGAGGAGCGCAGGCGCCUAGUAGGCAGGGGAAGGCGGCUAGAUGAGAAGAAGCGGCGGGUCUACGAAGCGGCCUUCUAGGUCAGUGGGCUGAUGAGCGAGGGCCUGUUGCGGCGCGUCGAGGAGCUGCGCGAGGAACAGCGCCGGGCGGCAAAGACGGAACGGGGAGGGGCCGACGAGUGCGUCUAGACGGACCGGGAGCGCCGCGAUCGCGAGGCACGCCUCCCUCCCCAUCUGCCCGAAAAGCGAGCUUACGGCGUGGAUGGGCUGGGGCGGAACGACCUCGACGAGUGGCACGAGGGGCUCCUCCACCGCGUCCUACUCUCGCCGCUGUGCCCCCAGCUGAGGCGGUGCGCCACGUCCAAGCGCGCACUCGACGAGUACGUGCGCGGGCGGCACGAACUCAAGGACGAUCGCGUCAGACUCUUCGGCCGGCGGCGCCUGCCCCACGGGGAGGUGCUCGCGUUGGUAUCUUAGGACGCUACGGAUGACUCGACCCAAGCGCGCCCUACGAAGAGCCCUCGCGGCCGCAGGCGGGAGCGGCGUGUGGGUGAAGACUGCAAGCGCAAGUUGAGGGACGUCCGCAAGAAGAGCAAACUUCACCGGUAUCUCCAAUACUGGCUUGAACAGUCGGUCAUAGUUCUUAAUGGCGUCCGUAAAGACUCGUUCUACGGUAUGUAGUCUCUCCAAGAAGAAAAUGGUCGAGAUCGGUUGUCUUCACUCUUCUAAUAACGACCAGAAUGAUCAAACUACACGCUUCAACCAGUUCGUCGUGGACCAAACCAACGUCUUCCCUCAUUACUUCGUGAAAGAGAAAGUCUACGUGAAAACUCUACACAUCGAAAAAGAUCACUUCUGACCCUCUAGCGUCUUAGGUGGAACGUUAAAACCACGUCAAACCGUGUAACAUAAGAACCUUAGCUACUCGUUUGUAGGUUUUCCUUACGGUGUGUUCUCAACAAAGAGGGACAAAAAAGAAGUGACGAUCUACGAGAAGAAAAAGCACGAGUCUAAUAACUAUAGCUACUCGUAACGUGACCGGCUCAUAGAAGGUAUGGACUACCUGAUCAUGUCAAGUCCGACUUGGACCUCCUCGAAGAACAACUAUAAACAAACGAAGAUCCACGAGGACGUAUGUAAUUAUUCGAAGAAAGAUCGCCUACCCCUGACCGAUCGGUUAGUUAUGGAACCUUUCUCCAUCUUCAAUCUUACAUGCGUGAAUCGUACCAACGACUGUGUUAAAAUGUUCUACCUUCGGGGAAGCUAAAAAGUCAACAUUACGUGAAACACUUGUAAGACAGGUCGUCUUGUGGACGACUUGACUUACCUACGGUCAAGAACCAUAUGUUUAGCAAACCACUACAGUAACCAAGAAUAAGUUUCACCAAUAGUAGAAGGUUUUCAUUAUAAUUCGGUAAUGAGGAUAAGACGCGAAGUCCCUAAAGUUUUAGGUAUAGUAGUUUAAGAACGAGACAUCGAAAUGCAUUUGAAACACUCCUACGAAGCAGUAAGUAGGUGCUCGGAGGCUAAGAUCUGUAAGAAAAGACCUAAUCACUCCCAUACCCGCUCCCCUUGGACGCCUAUCUCCUACUCCUUCUCUAGUAAUCACGUUAAUGUGUACGAGAUACAAGAUAAGAGCUGUUUCUUAACUCCUUUUGAAGUGACCGGUCUGAUGAAACAAGUUCGAUGAGUCGUCAACUUUUCUAAUAACUGUAUCUGUCUCUACUUAACGAUUCCGUUUUAAGAUCACGAAUGCGUGUUCGGAACUUGUAGCGUCAAGCACCUGAAGUGUCUUACCCACGUAACAAGUCAGUAAACCGCUACAGUUAAUGUAGACCAGAUUAACUACUACUAUGCUAAAGCCAAGAAAAGCCAUAUAAGACCGGUGAGGAACUUUUUGAAUGCGUCAGUAGAGUAUACCUCUUGUGAUCAAAUAGAUGACGACGAACAGCAAGAGAAAGAAGCCGGUAUGUAAGAACACCUGUUGUAAAGGUUUAAAAUAAUGGAUUUUAAGAACUUACGAAUAGAUACUUAAAGAACGACAUAGUUUCCGUACUGACGAAGAAUUCUUGUCGACGGUUGUACUAACUUCUUAAACCGGUGUUCCUUCUUAUGUCACAACAUACACAGUCUUGAUAACUUUGCAAAUCGAGACGUCGAAGUGAUAGUUUAAACUUAAGAAGAAUGUGUACACUAGUUCUUGGGCUAGAUUAGCUUCGGAUACGUUUGAAGUGUAGACGUAAAUAGGCGACGACAGGUUUCCUUCGAUAACAGCGUAGAGCGAGCGACGAACUCGACAGUAAAGUUUUCCGUCGAUAUACGAGAUGUCGUUACGUGGUUCCUCGUCGUGAACAUCGUUAAAGUAUAUACAGUACAAAAAAACUACGAUCGGAAUGACUACACGACCUUAGAGGUCUUACGGGGAGACUACUUAGUGCACCACGCCACGACCAAGUUUAAAACCGUGCGACACCACUUCCAGAAUACAAAUUGCAUAAAAUACGAGAUGAACCACAUAGUCGGAACAGUUCCCAUGUAUUUAGACGUUGUUACGACGUCUUCAACCGCCGCAACACAUCGGAGACACUCUCUUGUUACACCUUCCCCUAUGAAACAACCCUAAGGGAAACACCCACCGACGUCUGUUGCCACUCAAGAAACAGGAGUCUCAUGGAUUCCGUUCCCCUUCGGCUCGACUAUUAAGGUAAUACCGAGUUCCACGAAGUCCUACGGCGGAGCCUGAUAGAAGUGUCGUCCUGACCGCUGUUAACGUCUUUGGUAGGACCAAUGUACGUUCCUUUUCCACCUUCUUGGGAAUUUGCGCAUUAAGCUCUAAAACGUCUUUCGGUAGCUUUACAAGGGUGGGGGAUAUAACUAUCGUCCACCUCGACGGCAGUUGUCAAUUCAAUUUAAACAACUUCAAACUUAGCAUUGGCAAACCUUAUCGAAGGUACGCUAUUUCCAGGAACGAAACCACACCUUACGUUGUCGAGCGAAACCACCGUGUUAUGUCUUACAACUAGGGAUCCAAAACAGAGACAUAAUAGGAAGAUAAUUGAAAUUCCUAUACACAAUAAGUCUACACUACUGACCCAAUCCUCGAGACAGGACGCAAGAUAUGGUUACAUCACUUCAUACUCUCCAGUUAUUUCUUACCAGCAAGGCAACUGGCAAGAAAUUCAAAGUCUUUUAUUUUUUCGUUAGGUAUCGGAGUACGUUGGAUCACGACUACUCGUCGAUGCCGUUGUUAAUACGACUCUUAAAACUUUGUUCUUUCACUUCUUCCAUCUACACUAUCAACACGUA
rnacentral:rRNA from 1 species